UCCAUAAGUAAUAAAAGGUCCGUUUAGGUCCCUUAACUUUAUUUAAAGUAUCGGUUUGAUCCUUUCUGUUAAUUUAAUUCAAAAAAAUGUUAAGUUUAGGGACCAAACUAAUACUAAUUAAAUAAGAUAAGGGAUCAAAAUUUAACGUUUUUUUGAAUUAAAUUAACAAAAAGGACCAAACCGAUACUUUUAAUAAAGUUAAGGGGCCAAAACGGACCUUUUAUUAUUUAUGGGA
rfam:Medicago truncatula strain A17 chromosome 1, whole genome shotgun sequence.